AGAGUUUGAUCCUGGCUCAGGAUGAACGCUGGCGGCGUGCCUAACACAUGCAAGUCGAGCGAUUCUCUUCGGAGAAGAGCGGCGGACGGGUGAGUAACGCGUGGGUAACCUGCCCUGUACACACGGAUAACAUACCGAAAGGUAUGCUAAUACGAGAUAAUAUACUUUUAUCGCAUGGUAGAAGUAUCAAAGCUUUUGCGGUACAGGAUGGACCCGCGUCUGAUUAGCUAGUUGGUAAGGUAACGGCUUACCAAGGCGACGAUCAGUAGCCGACCUGAGAGGGUGAUCGGCCACAUUGGAACUGAGACACGGUCCAAACUCCUACGGGAGGCAGCAGUGGGGAAUAUUGCACAAUGGGCGAAAGCCUGAUGCAGCAACGCCGCGUGAGCGAUGAAGGCCUUCGGGUCGUAAAGCUCUGUCCUCAAGGAAGAUAAUGACGGUACUUGAGGAGGAAGCCCCGGCUAACUACGUGCCAGCAGCCGCGGUAAUACGUAGGGGGCUAGCGUUAUCCGGAAUUACUGGGCGUAAAGGGUGCGUAGGUGGUUUCUUAAGUCAGAGGUGAAAGGCUACGGCUCAACCGUAGUAAGCCUUUGAAACUGGGAAACUUGAGUGCAGGAGAGGAGAGUGGAAUUCCUAGUGUAGCGGUGAAAUGCGUAGAUAUUAGGAGGAACACCAGUUGCGAAGGCGGCUCUCUGGACUGUAACUGACACUGAGGCACGAAAGCGUGGGGAGCAAACAGGAUUAGAUACCCUGUAGUCCACGCCGUAAACGAUGAGUACUAGCUGUCGGAGGUUACCCCCUUCGGUGGCGCAGCUAACGCAUUAAGUACUCCGCCUGGAAGUACGCUCGCAAGAGUGAAACUCAAAGGAAUUGACGG
rnacentral:rRNA from 1 species